UACAGAGGUCUCAAGCGUUGUUCGGAUUCAUUGGGCGUAAAGGGUGCGUAGGCGGCGCGGUAAGUCGGGUGUGAAAUCUUGGAGCUUAACUCCGAAACUGCAUUCGAUACUGCCGUGCUUGAGGACUGGAGAGGAGACUGGAAUUUACGGUGUAGCGGUGAAAUGCGUAGAUAUCGUAAGGAAGACCAGUGGCGAAGGCGGCUACCUGGACAAUUGCUGACGCUCAGGCACGAAAGCGUGGGGAGCAAAAGGG
rnacentral:rRNA from 1 species